rnacentral:misc_RNA from 1 species
AUUCUACAAGCUUAAUCGAUGAAUAAAAGAUGUAUUAGGUGUAGAUGUAUUAAGAAUGCUUUUAAAUCUACGUUCUUUAAUCUAUAUAUUCAUCAAUUUUAAGUUUCUAAUUUAUAUUACAAUUAUUACACAUUAUGUUUUGUGUGUGUGUGUGUGUGUGUGUGUGGAGGUGAAAUUAGUAAAAGAAUUCGUGGUAUAUUUAUGAUAUGUUAGGAUGAGAUAGAGAGAAGGAGUGUGUGUGUGUGUGUGUGUGUGUUAGUUUAGCGGGAACGGUGAAUUAAAUAUUGUAAGAAUUUGUAGAUUUGAAAGUCUUGCAAUCCGAUAGGUGUGAUAUCAAUAAAUUAGGAUUAAACUGCUAUAUAUAGCGUGGGUAAUUUUUAAAUUAUUAACAUUUCCCUCUGCUGACUAAAUCUGUUUGUAUUAUUUCGAAACAUUUGCAUCGUAAAUGAAUGAUUGAUAGAAAGUAGCAGACAAUUGCAAACCGAUCGAGCUAUCUACCAUUAAUCGACGCAACGAUAAAGUGAAAAAAUAUAUUCCAAGAUUAUUGUAAUUCAAAGUCAAAUCGGAAUGUCUCGCCAUCUGCCGUUACGUUCAUUUCUUUUGUACUUUCGAUACAUGUAAUUAAAUACUACUUGUUUCUUUU